GGGAAUAGCUCAGCUGGUAGAGCGCCACCUUGCCGAGGUGGAGGUCGCGGGUUCGAAUCCCGUUUCCC
rnacentral:tRNA from 1 species